AGGUGACGGCGGCCUCCGGGCAUGGAGCUCGCGCUGACGAAAGGUUCUGGAAGCCGCCGUAAAAAGUAAUCAAGAAACGGGUGACAGGACUUUUCCAUCUCCCGUGUCCCUCACAGCAGUUCUAUGAGGCUGGCUGCCCUGUUUGACAACUGAGGCCCGCAUCUUCCCCGGAAUCACCGACGUGUGGCUCUGAGCCCUGUCCCAGGGAUUUUCUCCAUCAGAGAAGAGGAGCACUUUGAGCUUUGAGAGGAGCAGCCCUCUGCAAGUGAAGUGGAAAAAAAGGAAGCAGGCGAGGAGGCCCAUCCAGACCCUCCCCCAAGACCCUUGCUGAAAUGGCUGGGAUGCGGCGUGCAGAAGCUCUCCUUUCCUUCACAGCCCCUGGCUUUCCAAGAGUCCCUGCCCACCCAGAUGCCCGCUGGCAGAUGCAGCCUCAUCUCAAGGACACUGCUUGCUGGAUAAAUCCCUCACCACCCUAGAGACAGCCCACGGUCCUGAGACAAGGAUGCGGGCCAGGCUUGUUGCACGUAAGCGCCUCCCGCAGAAACCAGUGAGGCCGGAGUUCCAGAGGAAAUGAUGUAGGGACAGAGGCAGAGGGCCUCCAGGAGGCACCAGCCCCAGAGUCUUCCCUAGAAUCAGACUUUAAGCACAAGCAGGGAGGGAAAGCACUUGAGCAGUGCCCGUCCCUGCAUACCUGGCCUCUGCUGGAACCCAUGCAGGGACAGGACACUUCUUUAUCAGCAAUCCUGUUCCUCUCCUGGGCAGCUUCAACCUGAACAUCCUCCUUCACCUUGAGCUAAAAUGGGUUUCUUGUCACCCUUGCCCAUCAAACCUGGCCUUGCCCUCAGGAACCACACAGGACAAGCCUAAUACUUCCUUCUUGUGGCAACACUUUAGCAAUUGAGACCUGGCUGUCAGGUCCUCCAAAUAAACAUUUGUGACUG
rnacentral:lncRNA from 1 species